GACGAACGCUGGCGGCGUGCUUAACACAUGCAAGUCGAACGGAAAGGCCCUGCUUUUGUGGGGUGCUCGAGUGGCGAACGGGUGAGUAACACGUGAGUAACCUGCCCUUGACUUUGGGAUAACUUCAGGAAACUGGGGCUAAUACCGGAUAGGAGCUCCUGCUGCAUGGUGGGGGUUGGAAAGUUUCGGCGGUUGGGGAUGGACUCGCGGCUUAUCAGCUUGUUGGUGGGGUAGUGGCUUACCAAGGCUUUGACGGGUAGCCGGCCUGAGAGGGUGACCGGCCACAUUGGGACUACGAUACGGCCCAGACUCCUACGGGAGGCAGCAGUGGGGAAUAUUGCACAAUGGGCGGAAGCCUGAUGCAGCAACGCCGCGUGCGGGAUGACGGCCUUCGGGUUGUAAACCGCUUUCGCCUGUGACGAAGCGUGAGUGACGGUAAUGGGUAAAGAAGCACCGGCUAACUACGUG
rnacentral:rRNA from 1 species